AUGAUGGCUAUUUUGGAGUAAAUAUGGACGGUGUGCGAACGCAGCAAAAUAGUAUUUCUGGCACACAGUGCAGUGCACCGACUACGGAUUGUUUGAAUGCAGAUGGCUCUGGUUGGUAUAUUG
rnacentral:rRNA from 1 species